rnacentral:rRNA from 1 species
AUUGAACGCUGGCGGCAGGCCUAACACAUGCAAGUCGAGCGAGCGGCGGACGGGUGAGUAAUGUCUGGGAAACUGCGUGAUGGAGGGGGAUAACUACUGGAAACGCUAGCUAAUACCGCAUACGAUCAGAUAUGCCCAGAUGGGAUUAGCUAGUGGGUGGGGUAACGGCCCACCGAGGCGCCGAUCCCUAGCUGGUCUGAGAGGAUGACCAGCCACACUGGAACUGAGACACGGUCCAGACCCCUACGGGAGGCAGCAUUGGGGAAUAGUGCACAAUGAGCGCAAGCCUGAUGCAGCCAUGCCGCGGGUGUGAAGAAGGCCUUCGGGUUGUAAAGCACUUUCAGCGGGGAGGCGUUACCCGCAGAAGAAGCACCGGCUAACUCCGUGCCAGCAGCCGCGGUAAUUC